rnacentral:rRNA from 1 species
AACGAACGCUGGCGGCAGGCUUAACACAUGCAAGCCGAACGCUCCGCAAGGAGAGUGGCAGACGGGUGAGUAACGCGUGGGAACCUUCCUAUUGGUUCGGAAUAGCUCAGGGAAACUUGGGGUAAUACCGGAUAAGCCCUAUGGGGAAGGAUUAUCGCCAAUAGAUGGCCCGCGUCUGAUUAGCUAGUUGGUGAGGUAAUGGCUCACCAAGGCGACGAUCAGUAGCUGGUUUGAGAGAAUGACCAGCCACACUGGGACUGAGACACGGCCCAGACUCCUACGGGAGGCAGCAGUGGGGAAGUAUUGGACAAUGGGCGCAAGCCUGAUCCAGCGAUGCCGCGUGUGUGAAGAAGGCCUGCGGGUUGUAAAGCACUUUUCAGUAGGGAAGAAAAGCCGAGUGCUAAUAUCACUCGGUCUUGACGUUACUUACAGAAG